CCUACGGGUGGCAGCAGUGGGGAAUAUUGCACAAUGGGGGGAACCCUGAUGCAGCGACGCCGCGUGAGUGAAGAAGUAUUUCGGUAUGUAAAGCUCUAACAGCAGGGAAGAAAAUGACGGUACCUGACCAAGAAGACACGGAUAACGACGUGCCAGCAGCCGCGGUAAUACGUAGGGGGCACGCGUUAUCCGGAUUUACUGGGUGUAAAGGGAGCGUAGACGGAAGAGCAAGUCGGAAGUGAAAGCCCGGCGCCCAACUGCGGGACUGCUUUGGAAACUGCCCGGCUAGAGUGCUGGAGCGGUAAGCGGAAUUCCUCGUGUCGCGGUGACAUGCGUAGAUAUUAUGAGGAACACCAGUGGCGAAGGCGGCUUACUGGACAGUAACUGCCGUUGAGGCUCGAAAGCGUGGGGAGCACACAGGAUUAGAUACCCUAGUAGUC
rnacentral:rRNA from 1 species